rnacentral:rRNA from 1 species
AUGGGAACGCGAAGAACCUUACCUAGACUUGACAUCUCCUGAAUAGUGUAGAGAUACAUGAAGCCCUUCGGGGCAGGAAGACAGGUGGUGCAUGGUUGUCGUCAGCUCGUGUCGUGAGAUGUUGGGUUAAGUCCCGCAACGAGUGCAACCCUUAUUACUAGUUGCUACCAUUAAGUUGAGCACUCUAGUGAGACUGCCCGGGUUAACCGGGAGGAAGGCGGGGAUGACGUCAAAUCAUCAUGCCCCUUAUGUCUAGGGCAACACACGUGCUACAAUGGUGAGUACAGAUAGAUGCGAUACCGCAAGGUGGAGCCAAACUCUAAAACUCAUCCCAGUUCGGAUUGUAGGCUGCAACUCGCCUACAUGAAGUUGGAGUUGCUAGUAAUCGCGAAUCAGAAUGUCGCGGUGAAUACGUUCCCGGGUCUUGUACACACCG